AACGAACGCUGGCGGCAGGCCUAACACAUGCAAGUCGAGCGCACCUUCGGGUGAGCGGCGGACGGGUUAGUAACGCGUGGGAAUAUGCCCAGAUCUACGGAAUAGCCUCGGGAAACUGAGAGUAAUACCGUAUACGCCCUUCGGGGGAAAGAUUUAUCGGAUUUGGAUUAGCCCGCGUUGGAUUAGGUAGUUGGUGGGGUAAUGGCCUACCAAGCCGACGAUCCAUAGCUGGUUUGAGAGGAUGAUCAGCAACACUGGGACUGAGACACGGCCCAGACUCCUACGGGAGGCAGCAGUGGGGAAUCUUAGACAAUGGGGGAAACCCUGAUCUAGCCAUGCCGCGUGAGUGACGAAGGCCCUAGGGUCGUAAAGCUCUUUCGCCAGGGAAGAUAAUGACGGUACCUGGUAAAGAAACCCCGGCUAACUCCGUG
rnacentral:rRNA from 1 species